rnacentral:rRNA from 1 species
GACGAACGCUGGUGGCGUGCUUAACACAUGCAAGUCGAACGGAAAGGCCCUGCUUGCAGGGUACUCGAGUGGCGAACGGGUGAGUAACACGUGGGUGAUCUGCCCUGCACUUCGGGAUAAGCCUGGGAAACUGGGUCUAAUACCGGAUAGGAGCCAUUUUUAGUGUGAUGGUUGGAAAGUUUUUUCGGUGUAGGAUGAGCUCGCGGCCUAUCAGCUUGUUGGUGGGGUAAUGGCCUACCAAGGCGGCGACGGGUAGCCGGCCUGAGAGGGUGGACGGCCACAUUGGGACUGAGAUACGGCCCAGACUCCUACGGGAGGCAGCAGUGGGGAAUAUUGCACAAUGGGCGCAAGCCUGAUGCAGCGACGCCGCGUGGGGGAUGACGGCCUUCGGGUUGUAAACUCCUUUCGCUAGGGACGAAGCUUUUUGUGACGGUACCUAGAGAAGAAGCACCGGCUAACUACGUG